UACAGAGGGUGCGAGCGUUGUCCGGAAUCACUGGGCGUAAAGGGCGCGUAGGUGGUGGCUUAAGCGUGCGGUGAAGGCUCGGAGCUCAACUCCGAGUCGGCCGUGCGAACUGGGCUCACUGGAGCAUAGUAGAGGCAGGUGGAAUUCCGGGUGUAGCGGUGGAAUGCGUAGAUAUCAGGAGGAACACCUGCGGUGUAGACGGCUUACUGGACGGUAACUGACGCUGAGGCACGAAAGCGUGGGUAGCAAACAGG
rnacentral:rRNA from 1 species